CGACCCGGCUUUGUUCGCGCCAGCUGCUCCGCACACGUCGGGGAGGGGAGCGCGGGCAGCGGAGUCCCUGGGCUACUACUGGGCGGGCGAGCGGGGCGAGUCCCCAGACCCGCCAGCGCCAGCCGUGGCCCUGUCCCUGCCCCCGCCCCACCACGCCGGACCCUGAGCCGCGCCUGGGGGACCCACGCGCUCACGGGGCAGGCAGAAGGCGCGGGAGGAUGGAAAUGAGCUGCAGGAUCACCCUCUGCGCCGUGGGAGAGCCCACUGGGCUUGCGGGGUCAGCGCCAGGGCGGGAGCGAGGCGGGCUGGCCCUGGAUCCCCAGGCCCCGCAUCCCCAGCCCCUGGCGCUCCCCCCUGCGGCGGGACCUGUAACAACGCUAUAGUUUUCCACCGAGACCAGCGCGUCUCCACUGCUCCCGGGCCGGAACCUGGGUCUCGCAACUCAUCGCAAACGGGCCCUGGGGAGCCGCGGCCGCUCUGCCAACUGAGUUCAGAAUGAACGAACGGGGAAGGGCAGCCUGGGUGCCGUCCUGCUCAGGGGACAGAAAGCUCCUGGUUUCAGCCAGCUCCUUAAUGAAGCAAACAACGGCGAUAAUACUGGUGAAAGCAGCAGCUAUUUCCUGAGCGCGUGGACCGUGCCGGGCCCUGCGCUGAGAGCCUGAGCAUCAUCUCCGCAGCCCUGGCAACCACACCAGGCGCCGCUCCCGUGCCACAGGCCAGCGAGCUGAGGCACCAGUGGCCGAGUGACCCGGCCCGGCACACCGCCAGGCGGGGAGGUUGGCAGCCAGGUUUGCGUGACUCCAGACACUGACAGCUCUGGAGGGCUGGGGGCAGGCCUGACGCGGAGCAGCGUCUCAAAAGCUGGGUCCCCAGCUAAGGGGGCAAGAGCCUCUGGCCCCGGGAAGCAGGCAGGACACAUUUCAGGAGGCGGGUCUGCACAGCCGCUGGAGGGAGCGGGACGGGUGUCACGGUCGGACCCCACGCUCCUGACCGCCCUGCAGAGGGACUUUCCCGCUCUCCUGCUGGGCAGGGCCACAGGUGCUGCCUGGAAAUCCUCCGAGGGGCUGCGUCCCUCCCUAAUGGCUGUAACCUAAUCCGCGGUUCCUUGGGUGUGGCUCCUGAAGCAGGUGUCCCUCCCCACUGCCAUGGUGAGGUGGCUGGGCACCUGGAGUCUGGCAGGACGAUGGCCAAGCGAGUGCAGGUCCUGGGGGCACCUGCACUUACUUCCGGGGACUCAGCUCGGGGCGCCUGCUCUGCCGGCCGCCACGGCCCCGGCCUCGGCAAACCCGCGGUGCCUCCAAGCUGCACAGGUUUGCUCAGCUGCCUGCGAAGUCCAAGUUCGCUCACCGGCUUAGCACUGUCUCUGUGACCCCCUCCGUCUAGAAGCCUCUCAAGUGUGAUCCGGCCUGAGGUCAGCAUCGCCGAGUCGUGUAAAGUCAUAGCUUGAUGGACUCACACUGGAACGAAUGGCCGCUGCUACGGCUGAGUCCCUCAGGCCUCCCCGCGGGUGACAGGCAGCUGGCCGGUGCUGGCGAUGGAAGGGAGCUGCCAGCCCAGCAGGGGACCCGAGGGCUGGCCUGGCCAGGCCAUGCUUCCGCUUCCUCCUCGUCUCAUCCAGCCGGGGUGUGGACAGAGGCUACGACAAUGCUCCCUCUCCUGUCACGUGGCCUCCUGUUCCCAGGAAAAGGCCCGUCGCCCACUUAGGCACAUACAGUAACCCUCAGAACCUUGCUUUGUUCUGGGACAUCCGGCUGUUCGCCUGGCCGCACGUGGUUGCCGUGGGUGCGGUGGCGGCCGUGGGCAAGACGGGGUCUCCACCUCGGCAGAUCCACAAACCAAAUGCUGAGUGAGAAAGACAAGUAAGGUCACAUAGGCCUCCCUCUGGCUCAGGACCCCCCCAGCAUCCCAGCUCCCCCCACAUGCAAGGAUGGACGCAGGACAGGCCGCCCACUGGACUACCGUCAAGACUUCCACCGCUGUCACUGACCCUCCCCGGGCGAGAUGCCCCAGCACGCGAUGGGGGACAAGCCCUUCGCCUCGAUGCCCCAGCUGGCCUUCCCCAGCCCGCCGCCGGCCCUGGACGAGGAACACGGCUGCCCCUGCCCCAGCCGGCACGUGUCCCUGGACCUGCCUCUGAGCCGGGGCGCCC